rnacentral:rRNA from 1 species
AGUACGGUCGCAAGAUUAAAACUCAAAGGAAUUGACGGGGACCCGCACAAGCGGUGGAUGAUGUGGAUUAAUUCGAUGCAACGCGAAAAACCUUACCUACCCUUGACAUGUCUGGAAUGCCGAAGAGAUUUGGCAGUGUCGCAAGAAACCGGAACACAGGUGCUGCAUGGCUGUCGUCAGCUCGUGUCGUGAGAUGUUGGGUUAAGUCCCGCAACGAGCGCAACCCUUGUCAUUAGUUGCUACGAAAGGGCACUCUAAUGAGACUGCCGGUGACAAACCGGAGGAAGGUGGGGAUGACGUCAAGUCCUCAUGGCCCUUAUGGGUAGGGCUUCACACGUCAUACAAUGGUCGGGACAGAGGGUCGCCAACCCGCGAGGGGGAGCCAAUCCCAGAAACCCGAUCGUAGUCCGGAUCGCAGUCUGCAACUCGACUGCGUGAAGUCGGAAUCGCUAGUAAUCGCGGAUCAGCAUGUCGCGGUGAAUACGUUCCCGGGUCUUGUACACACCGCCCGUCACACCAUGGGAGUGGGUUUUACCAGAAGUAGUUAGCCUAACCGCAAGGGGGGCGAUUACCACGGUAGGAUUCAUGACUGGGGUGAAGUCGUAACAAGGUAACCAAGGGCGAAUUCCAG